UGAAGUAUUGAAGAGACUAGUGUUUUUUUGUAGUAUUAUAUAUCGUUUUCUAUAGCUAAUUAAAAACAAUAUUUAAUAUCUGAUAUAGUAAAUGUAUGAUGGGCACUUUAUAUAUUUGGUUCAAUAAUUCCGUGCUAUAGAUAUUAAUUUGAAAGGUGAUAUAGAAAUGAAAUAAAUGAAAGGGGACAUGCACAUGAUGUGGAAAUGGACAAAAACCAUACCGACUCACAAUUAUGAGAUAUCACAUGAUGAUGCGGACAAGUCAACGCUUCUUAUAUCUAGGCCUUACGUCACAAAUAGGCUGGGCUUAGCCCAGAAGACCAUGUUUAAAAAUACAAGCCCAGAACAAUUAACAAAUUCAGAAAAUAAGUUUUUCUUUGUUUUGUUUAUUCUAAACAGGCCCGUCUCUUUACUUUUUGAGGUUUCAUGCGAGCUGUAAUCAUCUAACAACACACGAAAUAUUUUGCAAAAAAAACCAUGUGCAAAAACACGUCUUGCACUUACCUAGAAACGGACUUAAUUCUAAAGGAGGAUGGUUGGCAAGUUUCGCAGCCAUCUUCAGCGAUCUGUCAAAAUCUGCGGGAGCUGCGAAUUCAAUGUUGGCUUUCGUGCAGCCAUAUUGUCCAACAAGAUUGUCAUCUUCUCCAAGUCCUACUGUCCGUAUUUUUCAGUCCCUUUGAAUCUGAAUUUAAUUGAAGAGUAAUCCGUGUAAAGGUGUGAUUUUGUUCAGAGUCGUGCUUAUAGCCUUUAAAAAAAAAAGGCAUUUAACCUUUUUUUUUUUGGUCAAAAAGGCAUUUAACUAGGACCCCUAAUUUUGUAAAAAUUCCAGAGACCCUAAUUACAAAAAAAUUUUUUUACAUAGUACUUAAAAUAUUCUCUUAAUAACAUUUUUAUAUUUAUUUGAUUCAGAAUUUAACUUCUGUUUAAAAUAACUAUCAAUAUCUCUAUAUUUUAAAUAAAAUAAUAAAGAUUCUACUUCUAAAAAUUGCAAAUAUUUAAUCCACAUUUGUCUUCUUUUAUAUACUAUGAGUUAAUUUUAUUUUAUAUAUUUAUGGAAAUUUGGUAAAAAAAUAUGAAAUUUCGAAUAUAUAGUUUAUUAUAUUUAAUUUAAAUGCUAAGAUUUUUGUUUUUUUAACGGAUACCAACAUUUCAAUCCCAAAUUUGUAUCUUUGUUAUUAACUUACAAAUUCAUAUUUUUUAUCAUGAUUUUAAUUUUUUUAGUUUAUAACAUUUUUAUGAAGAAGAAUCAGAAACGUUGAUGUAAUAAAUUCAAAAAAAACUCAGUGUUAUAUAUAUAUAUAUAUAUAUAUACAUAUUUCAAAUGUUUAUAUGAUUCAAAUUUAAAUAAAACUAUUAUUAACAAUAUCAUGUAAAAUAUAUAUUUUUAACUCGUCUCAGGCCUCCAAAAAUCUUCGCACAGCACUGAUUUUGUUUGGUACAUUGCAUAUCUAUUGCUUUCGCUCGAAACGAAUUUGACUAAAAGGUUGAUUGUUUGUAGUUUUUGGAUUAGUUUUUGGUUUUUGUUUUUCCAAAAACCAUUUAGCAACCAAUCAAAAUUUUAAAAGAAUAGAUUCCCUAAAAUGUAGGAAAAUUAGUUUUUGCAAAUAACUGUUUUCUUAACACAAAAACCAAAAGCCAAGUUUUCAUAGUUUUUUUCUUAUCUUACGGUGGGUUUCCAAUUUUUUUUAAAUUGCUUUUAUUUUAUUUAUAUUUUAAUAUAAGAAAAAAAUAAAAAAUGAUAAUUACUGUAAUCAAAAAAGGUUUAGUAAGAUUCAUUUUCUUACUAUUGGUACUAUUUAUUAAAAUUCGUGAUAUAUAUUCUUGUAUUAAUUUUUUUUAAACAAGAAAUAAACUUCUAAAAUAAUUUUUUUUAAUAUCAGACCAAAAAAUCAUUAAUCCAAUUUUUGAGAAACCAGAAGGAUAAUAAAGUUUUAAAUUCCGAAUUCAAAAUAUAUUUAUAAUUUUAUACAGUACUUUCCUGAACUUAUAAAAGUACAUUUAAAUUUUAUUUAGUAUAUUUAAAUAAACUAGCUAUUGAUAUUUUUAUUUAUAAUAAUAUGUGAUUUAUAAAAUAUUUUAAAAAUACAACUAUUUUUUUUAACUUUUUAAUUAUGUAUUUUCAUUUUUGAACUGCAGUAAUUAUGUUGUCAUAUAUAUAUAUCAGAAUGGGGGAAUUUUACUUCUACACUUUCUUUGGUACCACAUUUCAAGUAUACCACUAGUAUGAAGACAUUUUCACAAAUACACUUUUCAUUAAUGACCAAAAGACCAUACUAGCCCUAACCUUAUCUCUCUCUCGCGAUCCUCUUUUCUUUCUCUCUCUCUCGCGAUCUUUUUUCUUCCUCUCUGCCUCCGAUUCACCGGAGAUCCACCAUCUCUCUCUCAUUCCACCGGUUCUCUGCGGUUCACUCUGCGGUUCACUCUGUCGACUCCUACUUCUGUACAAGAUUCCCAACUGGUAUGCAUCUAAUUUCUCCUUUUUUUGUUUGUGUCGAUUAAUUUUGCGAAAUUUCGAUUUUGUGGUUACUAUAGUCGAAAAUCAAACAAGAUUGCUUUAGACUUCUAAUCUGUACAUGUCGAUCUAAGAUAAACAAUUCUGAUUGUGAAAACAUUGAGUUUUGACAACUUAAGACCCUUUAUAACCCUUUGUAAAUCUGAGUUAUUUUGUAAUGUAAUUGAUAUGUUCAGUUCCUGAGAAGCUGUGUUCAAGCUUAUAUGAGAGCCACAAUCCUGCCAGCACACAUUUGCUUUAAUUGUUGGUGAAUGGUCGAUUCACAAUAAGAAAGUUGGCAGAAUCUGAAAGUUUUGUUUUUGGUUCUGCGUUUCUUAACAGUUGUGACUUACGUGUCUGUCUAGUACUCAAUGUAGCUCAAUAUGUUAAUUAUUUACUCUAAUCUCUUGCUUGUUUCUUGACCAUAAUACAACAAACAGAGCGGUAGAAUCCAAUGAGAUGUGGAAGACUCAGGAGCAAGAAAACGAAAGGCUCAAAAUAAAAUCAAGAGAGGAAAGCAGCAACAGCAGUAGCCAAAUGAAGUGGAGUAGUAGUUUCUCGAAAAGGAGUUUGGAUAAGAAAUGUAGCUCCAUUAACGAGGAGAGAAAGAUCACUCAUCAAUCAUCAUUGGACAAAAGAUUGUACUUGGAUGAUGAUGAUGAAGGUUUAGGAGAUGAUGAGAAUUGAGUCUUUUCUCCAAUCACGGAACAAACGUGGGAGAGGCUCUGUUGGUCCUAGGAUGGAUGAAAAUGUCCCUUAUCUUCCCACCGAGAAGGUUGAUCAAUUGCAAAGUUCUGAUACAAGGGAAAGGAAGGUAGUCUUGCUGCAGCUUGGGCUCUAGCUAAUCUAUAUUAUCUUGCAUGUUAGAAAGCUCUUAUAAGGGUUUAUAAAACUAUUUAUAAGAACUUAUAAAUCAUUUUUAAGGUUUUAAAAAUAUAUUUAUAAAAGUUUAUGAAUCUGUAUAUAAGGUUUGUAAAAAUAUUAUAAGAGUUUAAUAAUCUUCAUAACACAAUUUAUAAGAGUUAAUAAAUCUUUUUUAAGAGUUUAUAAAUCUUUACAAACAUUUAGAAGUAAAAUAUUCAUAAAGCUAUUAUAAGUGUCUAUAAUUCUAAUAUAAAUGUUUGUAAAUUAUUUAUAGUAAAUAAAAGAUUAUUUAUAAUGGUUUAUAAAACAAUUAAUAAGACUUUAUAAAAUCAGUCUAUAAGGUUUUUUAAAUAUAUUAUUAAAGUAUAAUUCAUUUAUAAGAGUUUAUAAAAUCCGUUUAUAAGGAUUAUAAAUAAUUAAUAAAUGUUUAUGAAUGAUUUAUGAAGAUUUAGAAAUCAUUUAUAAAUAUUUAUCAAUAGUUUAUAUAUAUUCCUCAUGUGGUGGAAAACAGCAAGAUGAUGUAGCAGAGGUUUGUGGGGAUAUUGAGUUUGCUGUAUAGUUCAUAGCUAAGAAUAAGAGCGAGUGUCUCCAAGAAGAAUGGGGAGUGUUGGGGAAGUCUCCGGAGGCGGCUUUAGAUGUGGAUCAGACGAUCUUCGUGGUUACGGCGGAAGACGUGGAGAGGAGCAAAAGACGGUGUUAUGGGCAGCAAGAAACUUCUCCAGCAAGAAGAUUUGCUUGCUUUACGUCCAUCGUCCUGCUUGGCCUGCCUCCUGCAGUGAGAAUCUUAUGCUUCUCUUUCUCUCUGACUUAACUAUUUUGUGGUGAAUUAUAGAAUAUUUAUGGAUGUUGAAUUGUUCUUGAGUGUAGAUUUGCUCAUGAAUCAUGAUUGAAUCUUACCGAGUCUAUAUAUAUAUCCUUUAGUUGAUUGUGGAUGAUGUUAAUGAUGUACCUCUGUUUGCUAAGAAAAUCUGAGAAAUGAUAUAAUUGUUUUAUAAAGAAGAGGCAGAGAAACCAUAUCAAAUUAUAUCAUCAUAAUAAAAUCCUUAUAAGACUUUAUAAAGAUAAUAAAUAAUUUAUAAAUAUUUAUAAAUCAUUUAUGAAAAUUCAGAAAUCAUUUAUAAACCUUUAUCAAUAGUUUAUAUAUAUAUUCCUAUAAAUGAUUUAUAAACCUUUAUAAAAUCACUUAUAAGAAUAUACCAAAUAUUUAUAAGGUUUUAUAAAAUCAUUUAUAAAUAUUUAGAAAGGUAAUUUCAUUUAUAAAGUCUUAAAAAUCAUUUAUAAGAUUUUAUAAAUCUUUACAUUUAGAAGUAAAAUAUUCAUAAAGCUAUUAUAAGUUUAAAAAGUAAAAUCGAUGAUAUAAAUACAUGAAGAUGCUCGUUACUAAUUUUCUGAAAAACGAAACUAGAGUAAAUGUAAAGUACAAAUGAUUUACAGCUUACAAUCACUUAUAAGAACACGUGUUAUACAUAUAUAUAUUACAGAAAGACAUGUGUCUUGUUUCUCUUAUAUGUGUCAAAAACAUAUAUAUUACAUAUAAAAACACGUGUCUUAUCUCUCUUUCUGCAACUCCAAUCUUCUUGAAAAUUGUGUUUCCUUCUGAAAACAUAAAAACAUAAGGCUAAAUAUAUAUAUUGUUUUACGGUUUCUUUUAUAAGGCCUUAUAAAUAUAAAAAUUGUAAUAAAUACCUCAAGCGGAUUACCUUUAUAAAAUCACUUAUAAAUUUUAUAAGAGCUUAUAAAACCUUGUAUCAACCAUCUAUAAAGUUUUUAAAACAUAUAUAAAUAUUUAUAAGAUUUUAUAAAUCUUUUUCAAGAGUUUAUAAAUCUUUUUCAAGAGUUUAUAAAUCUUUUAUAAGAUUUUAUAAAUCUUUACAUUUAGAAGUAAAAUAUUCAUAAAGCUAUUAUAAGUUUAAAAAAUAAAAUCGGUGAUAUAAAUACAUGAAGAUGCUCAUUACUAAUUUUCUGAAAAAAGAAACUAGAGUAAAUGUAAAGUACAAAUGAUUUACAGCUUACAAUCACUUAUAAGAACACGUGUUACACAUAUAUAUUACAGAAAGACAUGUGUCUUGUUUCUCUUAUAUGUGUCAAGAACAUAUAUAUUACAUACAAAAACACGUGUCUUCUCUCUCUUUCUGCAACUCCAAUCUUCUUAAAAAUUGUGUUUCCCUAUGAAAACAUAAAAAUAUAAGGCUAAAUAUAUAUAUAUAUAUAUAUAUAUAUAUAUAUAUUGUUUUACGGUUUCUUUUAUAAAACCUUAUAAAUAUAAAAAUUGUAAUAAAUACCUCAAGGGGGUUACCUUUAUAAAAUCACUUAUAAAUUUUAUAAGAGCUUAUAAAACCUUGUAUCAACCAUCUAUAAAGUUUUUAAAACAUAUAUAAAUAUUUAUAAAACUAUUUAAAAGGGUUUAUAAAACUAUUUACAAGAACUUAUAAGCUAUUUAUAAGAGUUUUUACAUUUAUUUAUAAGUGUUCAUAAAUUAAUUUACAAGGUUUAUAAAUCUAUUUAUAAGAGUUUAUAAAUCACCAAAUUAACCAACUUUUCACUAUUUCUUUGCUUAUUAAGGAACAUCAUUCUUUUACAGUUUCUUUUAUAAGGCCUUAUAAAAAAGUAUAAUUGAGUAUUGAGAUGAUUGAGUAUUGAGAGAUACUUGAGGUUUCUGAAUUUAUAAUGGUUUAUAAAAAUUUAUAAAGGGUUUACAAAACCACAAUGUUAGAUGAACGUCUCAGUUCUGCAGAUGCACAUAAUAUAUCCAGACCAGAUAUAUAGCCUUCUAGGACCUUUCUCACAGAAAUAGCAAAAGCCUGAUUAACAAGAGUAUAGUGGCUCUUGUUAUUGGCUUCUUCAUUUUCACCUACUUUACAGCUCCCCCAUGUCCCUCAACUUCCAACUUGAAGUUCAUGAAAUGGGUCUACGAAGUUAUGGAGAAGAAAGACCAAAGAACCAAAACAGCCUAUGUUUCAAAGAAUCUGUCCCAAGGCGUCAGUGCUUGAUAACCAAUGCCACAAGCUCAGACUUUUGUGGGUUGUCCUAUCAGCUGGCUCAGAGCAUAAUCCAUAAGAGAGCUUAUGUAUGCUAAUAAGAGAAGAACACCUUGCAGGGCAUUCAACGCCAACCUAACCAAACUUAAUUCCUAUUAAAAAGCAACAAAAUUGUCAGAGAAUGUGGCCAAAAGUAGAAGUAGUCUCAAUAUACUUCUUUCAUUUCAUCUAAGCACUAAAGAUAUUCCAUUGUUCUGUAAUUGAUUACUAAGAAUAGAAAUCUGAGAACAUGACAUCGUAAUCUUCCCUAAGAUAAUGAUUUCGUCGUAACUCAAUACAGUACAUCGAGUACUAAACUCAAAUCAAUAAAAUUGAUACUUCUUUUCCCCCAAAUCAUUUCCUAUUAGGUUUCCGAUCCUAGCCACUCAAGUGAAAUGCAAAGCUCAUGUUUCCACGCAUACAAACAUGAAAAGCGUAAAUGGUGAACUUACAGAGGCAAAUGAAGAAGACGGAGGAGAAGCACGAGUUGGAAGAAGAAAUUGGCAGCUCUGAGAAUGUAAGGACUCUCAAUUACUUGGUGGAAGGUAAAGCUCCUCCUGUUUGAGCUUCUCCAGAAGCGAAUCAAUGCUCGUCGCCACCGUCAUUAUUUCUCAAUCGAGGAGAAAGUGAGAGAUCGUCUUGUUCGCCUGAGCUUGUAGAGUUUUUCAGCUUCGUCGGAGAAUUCGUCAGCGCCGUCCGGAGAACUCGUCAGGAUCGUCGGAUUUGAUCACCGUCGAAUUCGAAAUCAAUCUGGAAACUCUCAGAUUUGGAAUUGAGGGAGAACGAGAGUAAUUUAGGUUUAAUUAUUCAGGGGUAUAAUGGUACUUUGUCUAUUAAAAUUUUAAUGGUAAAGUUGAAAAGUGUAAAGUUGAAAAGUGGUAUUAGGAAAGUGGUAUUAGUGGCAAUUCCCCUAUCAGAAUUGUGGUUCAUAUAUCUAGCUCGCAUUAUUUUCUCUUAUAAAAUAAAUUUAUUUUUAAGUGGUAAUAUUUUGUAUUAUUUGUUGUUCAUAGUAAGUAAUAUUUUACUACUAAUUUUUAUUUCAACUCAAACAAAAAUAAUCAUUCAAGUUUUCUAAAACCUAAAACUAUACAAAAAUCAGAAAUUUUAGAUAAAUAUUUUAAUAUUUUAUAAAAACAAAAACCAAAAGUCAGAAACCAAAAUCACCAUUCGUGUUUUUUCAAAAACUAAAAUCUACUGCAAAAUCAAAAACUAGAAACUAAAAACCAAAAUCUAAAAACUAAAAAUCAAAAACCAAAAACUAAAAAAUAAAAUCUAAAAACUAUCUAAACAAUCAUCACCUAAGAGUAGUCUGUGUGGCUUGUAUUUUUGGGCCUAUUGAUCCCCUCUUCUCGUUCAAAAACAAUUAUCAUUUGGGUUUUUGGAGGUUUCGCCAUCUUCUUUCUUAUUAAUUUUUUUUUCAAAAUAUAAGAUUCUAGUAAACAAUAUUCAAAUUAUCUUGACUGAGAAUCAUGAGUGGAAUGGGAUGAACUAAAAGUUGGUUUCGGUACAAAAAAUAAGGCCCAACAGUAUUGUUACUUUUUCUAUUUUAUGGUGAGACAUUUUAUAAAAUUCGUUUUGGAAAGCUUCAUGCUGUUGUUUGUGUGGUCCUAACUAAAGGCUUCUAUUUUGUCCCCCUGAAAUGCAAUGAUGCCAAUUGCAAAUUUGUCUCUUAUACGUGUCUCUCUCUAAUUGGUUUACAAAAGGAGAAUUCUCUCAAGACCCCACUUGCCUUGUGAUACUUAAAGUAGCUCUUUAAUCACCACUCGUCCUCAAAAUGCUUUCUACGUACAAUAACAUCAAAUUAUUGGCAAAGUAUAUUUGUUUGUGAAGAAGAAAGAAAAGCAAUUAACUUUUUCUAAAGAGGAUUUGGAAGACAAGUGCGAGGUUGUACGGAGGAAAUCUCGGUAUCAAAUCAGCUGAAAUCUGGUGGGUUUAGGGUUUAAUGGAGUUAUGGGACCAAUUGAUUUACAUAUUUUGUAUAAUAUAUUGUUUUUUUUUUUUUGAACACAGUAUAAUAUAUUGUUCUUACUGUAAAAUCACAAAUAAAGUGAUCUGUGUGUAUAACUUUUGGACAGUCUUCACAUGCAUCCCCAUGCACCAUUUAUUUCUUCUUAACAAAAUAAAUCAUCCAAAUUAGUAUGGGUU